rnacentral:rRNA from 1 species
GCUACGUGAGGCCGCAGUGAGGAAUAUUGGUCAAUGGGCUUACGCCUGAACCAGCCAAGUCGCGUGAGGGAAGACUGCCCUAUGGGUUGUAAACCUCUUUUGUCAGGGAGCAAUUGGCGCUACGUGUAGCGUUAUCGAGAGUACCUUACGAAAAAGCAUCGGCUAACUCCGUGCCAGCCGCCGCGAUCAUACGGAGGAUGCGAUCGUUAUCCGGAUUUAUUGGGUUUAAAGGGUGCGUAGGCGGAAUGCCAAGUCAGCGGUACAAUCGCGGGGCUCAACCUCGCACCGCCGUGGAAACUGGCGUUCUUGAGUGGGCGAGAAGUAUGCGGAAUGCGUGGUGUAGCGGUGAAAUGCAUAGAUAUCAUGCAGAACUCCGAUUGCGAAGGCAGCAUACCGGCGCCCAACUGACGCUGAAGCACUAAAGCGUGGGUAUCGAACAGGAUUAGAUACCCGAGUAGUC